GCAAUGGACGAAAGUCUGACCGAGCAACGCCGCGUGAGUGAAGAAGGUUUUCGGAUCGUAAAGCUCUGUUGUAAGUCAAGAACGUGUGUGAGAGUGGAAAGUUCACACAGUGACGGUAGCUUACCAGAAAGGGACGGCUAACUACGUGCCAGCAGCCGCGGUAAUACGUAGGUCCCGAGCGUUGUCCGGAUUUAUUGGGCGUAAAGGGAGCGCAGGCGGUCAGGAAAGUCUGGAGUAAAAGGCUAUGGCUCAACCAUAGUGUGCUCUGGAAACUGUCUGACUUGAGUGCAGAAGGGGAGAGUGGAAUUCCAUGUGUAGCGGUGAAAUGCGUAGAUAUAUGGAGGAACACCAGUGGCGAAAGCGGCUCUCUGGUCUGUCACUGACGCUGAGGCUCGAAAGCGUGGGUAGCGAACAGGAUUAGAUACCCUGGUAGUCCACGCCGUAAACGAUGAGUGCUAGGUGUUAGGCCCUUUCCGGGGCUUAGUGCCGGAGCUAACGCAAUAA
rnacentral:rRNA from 1 species